rnacentral:tmRNA from 1 species
GGGGGCGUACUGGUUUUGACAGGCGGAAUGUAGGUUUUAUCUAGCACGUUGCAGGUUCGACUGCAUUAAAAACGGAAAUUAAAUUUAAAUGCUGAAAACAAAGCAAACGUAAACGUUAUGCCUGCUACCAACUUUGGUACAGCGUACGCUUACUAAUCCGUCCUAGUUUAGUUUUUUAGGACAGUUCGCAGUGUAUUUGAUGGCGUUGUGAGUAUGCUUGCGGGCUUUAACCAAUACAAUAGCCACUUUUCAAAAUCCUUGCAGUUUGAAAAGUUAUUUCGCAAGGCGAUUUAAUUUGAGUUUGUCUGUUCGCUUAAACUAAUUCGUAUCAAAAAUAGACUAAACGUGUAGAAAGGUUUAACUAGCACCGUUUGGACGUGGGUUCAACUCCCAUCGCUUCCACCA